rnacentral:rRNA from 1 species
AACAAACGCUGGCGGCGUGCCUAAUACAUGCAAGUCGAACGGGGAAAGCUUUCGGGUAAGUACUAGUGGCGCACGGGUGAGUAACGCGUGGAUAAUCUGCCUUUGAGUGGGGGAUAACUAGUCGAAAGAUUAGCUAAUACCGCAUAAGACUACAGGAACUGAGGUUCUAGGGGUUAAAGGUUUUUCGCUCAUAGAUGAGUCCGCGUGAGAUUAGCUAGUUGGUGGGGUAACGGCUCACAAAGGCGACGAUCUCUAACUGGUAUGAGAGGAUGAUCAGUCACACUGGAACUGAGACACGGUCCAGACUCCUACGGGAGGCAGCAGUAGGGAAUAUUGCACAAUGGAGGAAACUCUGAUGCAGCGACGCCGCGUGAGUGAUGAAGACUUUCGGGUCGUAAAGCUCUGUCGCAGGGGAAUAACACAAUGAAUGUACCCUGUAAGAAAGGAUCGGCUAACUUCGUGCCAGCCGCCGCCGUAA